AUCUCCCUAGUAUAAGAAGUAUACAUGACUUCCAAUCAUGUGACCUUGGUUAGAAUCCAAGGGGGGAUA
rnacentral:tRNA from 1 species